UAGAGUUUGAUCCUGGCUCAGGACGAACGCUGGCGGCGUGCCUAAUGCAUGCAAGUCGAGCGGGCUACAGUCUUCGGAUUGUAGCUUAGCGGCGAACGGGUGAGUAACACGUAGGUAAUCUACCCUUCAGAGGAGGACAACCUCAGGAAACUGAGGCUAAACCUUCAUACGUUCACUGGUAGGGAUACUGGUGAAGAAAGAGUUACCGUUGAGGUAGCUGCUGAAGGAUGAGCCUGCGGCCCAUCAGGUAGUUGGUGAGGUAACGGCUCACCAAGCCGAAGACGGGUAACCGGUCUGAGAGGAUGUCCGGUCACACUGGGACUGAGACACGGCCCAGACUCCUACGGGAGGCAGCAGCAGGGAAUCUUGGGCAAUGGGCGAAAGCCUGACCCAGCGACGCCGCGUGGAGGAAGAAGUCCUUCGGGGCGUAAACUCCUGGACUGGGGGACGAGGAAGGACGGUACCCCAGUAGAAAGGGACGGCUAACUACGUGCCAGCAGCCGCGGUAAUACA
rnacentral:rRNA from 1 species